rnacentral:ncRNA from 1 species
AUAAAGUUUUAUUUUAGCUUAAAAAUUUGUUAUUAAAUUAUUUUAUAUGUAAAUUUUUGUGAGAAUUAUUAAUUUUUUAAAAAAAAAUUAUUUUUGUUUAAUCGCAGUAAUUAAUAUUAUUAUUUAAAGAAAUUUAGAAAUAGUAAUUUUAUUUAGUAUUGGUUAAAUUUAUGCCAGCAGCCGCGGUUAUAUAAAUAAUAUAAAUUAAUUUAAUUUAGUGAUAGUUAAAUUUUUGUUUUUAUUAAUAAUUAAAUUUAUUAAGUGAAAUUUUUAAAUUUAUUUAUAAUAUUAAAUUAUUUAAUUGAAGCUAUGAAAUUUUUAUAAUAAACUAGGAUUAGAUACCCUAUUAUUAAAAAUUUAAAUUAAAUCACUAAGGUAGUAUUAGUUAUGAUCUUGAAACUUAAAAAAUUUGGCGGUAUUUUAGUCUGUUCAGAGGAACUUGUUUUAUAAUCGAUAAUCCACGUUGGACCUUACUUAAAUUUGUUAAUCAAUUUAUAUACCGUCGUUAUAAGAAUAUUUUAAAAGAAUAAUAAUUUUCUUAAAUUUUUAUAAAAUUUAUAUCAGAUCAAGGUGUAGUUAAUGUUUAAGUAAAAAUGAGUUACAAUUUAAUUAUAAUUGGAGUUAAUUAUGAAAAAAUUAAUGAAAUUGGAUUUGAAUGUAAAAUUAUAAAGAUAAAUAAUUUGAUUUUAGCUCUAAAAUAUGUACAUAUCGCCCGUCGCUCUUAUUAUUAAAAUAAGAUAAGUCGUAACAUAGUAGAUGUACUGGAAAGUGUAUCUAGAAUGAC